rnacentral:rRNA from 1 species
UUUGAUCAAGGGCCAGAUUGAACGCUGGCGGGAUGCUUUACACAUGCAAGUCGAACGGCAGCACGGACUUCGGGUCUGGUGGCGAGUGGCGAACGGGUGAGUAAUGUAUCGGAACGUGCUUAGUAGCGGGGGGAUAACUACGCGAAAGCGUAGCUAAUACCGCAUAGGCGCCUCUCGGGGGAAAGCGGGGGACUCCUCGGGCCUCGCACUAUUAGAGCGGCCGAUAUCGGAUUAGCUAGUUGGUGGGGUAACGGCUCACCAAGGCGACGAAUCCGCUGGUUUGAGAGGACGACCAGCCAGCGACUCUGGGACUGAGACACGGCCCAGACUCCUACGGGAGGCAGCAGUGGGGAAUUUUGGACAAUGGGAAACUCCCGAUCCAGCCAUCCCGCGUGCGAUGAAGGCCUUCGGGUUGUAAAGCAUUUUGGCAGGAGGUGAAGAACGCACGGGAUAAUACCCCGUGCAACUGACGGAAACGCAGAAUAAGCACCGGCUAACUACGUACAGCAGCCGUAAUAGUGCAAGCGUUAAUCGGAAUUUACCGGGCGGGUAAAAGCGUGCGUGCAGGCGUUCGGAAAGAAAGAGGAAAUCCCAGAGUCUUAACUGAACUGUAUUUUUAAUCAUCAGAGCGAGUGUGUCAGAGGAGUGGAAUUAAGGUGUAGCAGUGAAAUGCGUAGAUAUGCGGAGGAACACCGAUGGCGAAGGCAGCCUCCCGGGAUAACACUGACGCUCUAUGCAUCGAAAGCGUGGGGAGCAAACAGGAUUAGAUACCCUGGUAGUUCACGUCUAAACGAUGUCAACUAGUCGUUGGGGCCUUCGGGCCUUGGUAGCGCAGCUAACGCGUGAAGUUGACCGCCUGGGGAGCAUGGUCAAAAAGAUUAAAACUCAAAGGAAUUGACGGGGACCGCACAAGCGGUGGAUGAUGUGGAUUAAUUGAUGCAACGCGAAAAACCUACCUACCUUGACAUGUCUGAAUCCCGAAGAGAUUUUAGGAGUGCUCGCAAGAGAACCGGAACACAGGUGCUGCAUGGCUGCUCGUCAGCCGUGUCGAGAUGCUGAAGGUAGGUCCAACGAGCGCAACCUGUCAUUAUUACGUUGCUGAAAGGGCACUCUUAAUGAGACUGCCGGUGACAAACCGGAGGAAGGUGGGGAUGACGUCAGAAGUCCUCAUGGCCCUUAUGGGUGUAGGGGCUUGCUUACUGUCAUACAAUGGUCGGGACAGAGGGUCGCCAACCCGCGAGGGGGAGCCAAUCCCAGAAACCCGAUCGUAGUCCGGAUCGCAGCUGCAACUCGACUGGUGUGGAAGUUUGAAUCGCUAGUAAUCGCGGAUCAGCAUGUUCGCGGUGAAUACGUUCCCGGGUCUUGUACACACCGUCACACCAUGGGAGUGGGUUUUACCAGAAGUAGUUAGCCUAACCGUAAGGAGGGCGAUUACUACUAGAUUCAUGACUGGGGUGAAGUCGUAACAAGGCAG